rnacentral:tRNA from 1 species
GCCUUCGUGGUGUAAUGGCUAGCACACUCGGCGGGUAUUCGAGAGGCGAGAGGUUCGAGUCCCGGCGAGGGCA